GACGAACGCUGGCGGCGUGCUUAACACAUGCAAGUCGAACGCUGAUGACCUGGCUUUUGUUGGGUUGGAUGAGUGGCGAACGGGUGAGUAACACGUGAGUAACCUGCCCUCUUCUUUGGGAUAACGCCCGGAAACGGGUGCUAAUACUGGAUAUUCACUGAUCUUCGCAUGGGGGUUGGUGGAAAGGUUUGUUCUGGUGGGGGAUGGGCUCGCGGCCUAUCAGCUUGUUGGUGGGGUGAUGGCCUACCAAGGCUUUGACGGGUAGCCGGCCUGAGAGGGUGACCGGUCACAUUGGGACUGAGAUACGGCCCAGACUCCUACGGGAGGCAGCAGUGGGGAAUAUUGCACAAUGGGCGAAAGCCUGAUGCAGCGACGCCGCGUGAGGGAUGGAGGCCUUCGGGUUGUAAACCUCUUUCGCUCAUGGUCAAGCCGCAACUGUGGGUUGUGGUGAGGGUAGUGGGUAAAGAAGCGCCGGCUAACUACGUGCCAGCAGCCGCGGUAAUACGUAGGGCGCGAGCGUUGUCCGGAAUUAUUGGGCGUAAAGGGCUUGUAGGCGGUUGGUCGCGUCUGCCGUGAAAUUCUCUGGCUUAACUGGGGGCGUGCGGUGGGUACGGGCUGACUUGAGUGCGGUAGGGGAGACUGGAACUCCUGGUGUAGCGGUGGAAUGCGCAGAUAUCAGGAAGAACACCGNUGNNNNAAGGCGGGUCUCUGGGNCGUUACUGACNNUGAGGAGCGAAAGCGUGGGGGAGNNNNCAG
rnacentral:rRNA from 1 species